AUUGAACGCUGGCGGCAGGCUUAACACAUGCAAGUCGAGCGAGCGGCGGACGGGUGAGUAAUGUCUGGGAAACUGCCUGAUGGAGGGGGAUAACUACUGGAAACGGUAGCUAAUACCGCAUACCAUCAGAUGUGCCCAGAUGGGAUUAUUUAGUGGGUGGGGUAAUGGCUCACCUAGGCGACGAUCCCUCGCUGGUCUGAGAGGAUGACCGGCAAAACGGGAACUGGGACACGGUCCAGACUCCUACGGGAGGCAGCAGUGGGGAAUAUUGGACAAUGGGCGAAAGCCGGAUGCAGCCAUGCCGGGGGUGUGAAGAAGGCCUUCGGGUGGUAAAGCACUUUCAGCGAGGAGGCGUUACUCGCAGAAGAAGCACCGGCUAACUACGUGCCAGCAGCCGCGGUAAUAC
rnacentral:rRNA from 1 species